rnacentral:sRNA from 2 species
GCUUCUACCAAGGUUCGAUUCGAGCGAAAGCGAGAAAGCUUUGCCGCAGGCAACGACCCGAAGGGCGAAACGCGCAGCGCUGAGUCAUCCUUCCCCCACCACCA